ensembl:lncRNA
AAAACACAGCGUGGAGGAGACGACUGCGAGCGAGACAUUUACAAACCAACUUAUCGAUCCAGCGCGUGGAAACAUUUUGGCUUUUGCAAACACGGAGGUGUUCUAAAUAAGUCGGUCGCUGUUUGUAGAAUAUGUAGAAGCCAAAUAAAAAACACGGAAACAGGACGAAUCUUUGCGGCCAUCUACUAAGGCGCCGUGGGAUUAAACAACGCCGACAGUCAGGACCUCUAGCAGCGUCACCGCUGCAGCAGCAGCAGAAACAGAGAGGUGGGGAACUCUGUUCUUCUUGAGGAGCUUCAGCUGUGCAGAGCGUCUUUAGCCUCCAUUAGUUUGGGUGAAAGAGCCAAAUGGAGAAAGAUUUGAAACUCAUCCACAUUAGCGGAGGCACGGCUUAAUAACAAAAGGGAGGAAAUCAGACAGUGAGGCCCAGAUCUUCCUGGAGACUGAGAGAGAAAAAGAGUUCUCACUUAUUCCCUGUAGUCUGACCCUUCGCUCACCCCGGCUCCCCCCUCCUGACUCCCUCCCUCCCUCCCUCUCGGUGUCCAAACAGAGCGUACAGCUUGAAGGGGAAACACACGAUGGACACACAAUAGAAACGGAGCAUGAUGAAGCGCACGCCUCACAAUCCCGUUUGGGGGACCGUUUGUGUACGUUUGGAUGCAGUUAGGGUCGAGCAGCCAGCGGGUGUGGAGGUGGGUUGCCAGGUUGGCUCGACCCGCACCAGUGCCUCUAUGCCGCCGUCACCACCAACCGCACUAAAUAUCAUAGCGAUUUUUCAGGAAAGCACAUGGUUUGACAUGCUUACUCUUUAUGUUGAUGAAACAUCUGGUGGGAGAAAGAUCCGCUGAAGAAGUGAAUCGAUGGAUCGAGCUCUUACAGAAUCACGUGUAUCAUGUUUGAAAGGGAAAAGAAGAAAAAACACAAAAACUACAUAGUGAAGUAUGAAAAAAAAAAAAGCAUCUGUCAAACAUGUCUGAGCACGUCCAGCCUCACAUUUGUGUUUGGACUUAAAAUGAAGCUAGUUGUAGCAGAGAUGCGAAUGCACGAAAGAGACACACUCGGCCCGGCUGCAGGUGCCUCCAAUUAAGACGUCGAGUCUUGAGUGACGGAUUUCUGCUCGUCCCAAAAGCUGUCGUUCAAAAUUGGAUUUUUCGGGGGAUUUUUUUAUUCAUGCUUUCGUGAGGUUUCCAAGAAAAAAUAUUCUGGGGCCUGUUGAAUAUUACAAACAAACUAUGAUCUGACUAUAUGAAAAAAUAUAAUUAAUAAGGAAAUGCAUGCAGUGUAACACCUAUUAUAAAAUGAACAAUGUUGUUUGUCUGUGCAUCUUUGAACACAACGGGACCUCCUGACCUGCCACCGGGAGGAAACCCCCCCUUGUCCGGCCCUUUGGUUGGUUCCUGGUUUUCUGUGAAACUAACUGUGAACAAGCACCAAAACAGUUUGUUGAUUUUAAUCAACUGAAUCAGUGCCAUGCAAUUUUUGGUACCUGAUUCCAUAUUAACAUUGAUACCGUGUUAUAGGAUGUUAUAGAAGGCUCGAUGAAUUAAAGGGAAAGAAGACACUUAAUGACUGAAGAAUUGUCUCCAGCAGACCAGCCAAUCACAGCUCAGCUCUGCCCAGUCCUUCAUCUUCACUUGACGAGUGUUUCUGGUGAAACCACGAGCUUUCCACUGGUUGUCAGUGUCGCUUCUCCGCUCGACCACAGUCCUGUAAUGUGGUCUGUUCGAGCCGCCCUGCUCUCCCCGUACGCCCACAUUUGCCACAGUGCCACAGGGAUUUCGAGCUCUGUAUUCCGUCCUCCAUACCCCCCCUCCACCCCAUUCUCCGCCGCCUCCACAUCAAAUAAAGAUGAAGGUGUCGCCCUAAUCGACAUUGUUGCCAAUGAAUCAUUUAGCAGUGUUAGUCUAACAUCCCAGAUUCCAGGUCAGUGCGUCUCACUGCUCAUCCCUGAGCCAGCAGGGAUCGGCUUGGAUCGGCUUGGAUCGGCCUGCUGCUCUGCUGCAGACUGACGCCUCUGUUGCCAACCGGCAAACUCUCUCCGUGUCCCCGGCCGUCCCCCGGGCCCCGGACCCCCCGGCCCCGCUGCGUGCAGACACUCCCCUGCUGGAGCGGAGAAAUGCUGAGGGGGUGGAAUAUGUUAGUGUGCCGUUAGCUCAGCUCACCAUGGAAUAACGGUUUUGGUACAAAUCCGGUUUGUAAAUUAGCUGUACGUCUUCGGGCACGUUUUGGUUUUUUAUUUUAGCACACUUGUUGUGAAGUUCUCGAUCUUUAACUCCCCCGGCAUUUGGAAUCUUGUCUUUGGUUUGGUGGCUGAGUUGACAAGCGUCAGUGUGGGUGAUUCAUUAUAUGUCAUUUGACAUAAUUUUCUUUUAUAUCCUUAAAGUGUUACAUUUUGAGUUUGACUAAUACUACUUUGAAUGCAACGUGUUCUAUAUAUGUGUGUAAUCUAUUCCCUGACGAAGAGAGCCUAAUCAAAUGAUGUCUUCCUUCUUACUUUAUAUAUUCACGAGUUGACUUUGUAAUUCAUUUCUGCAUAAGCUCAAUUGAUUAAAGUAAAGCACAUAACACGUGCAGGGCUGCGUAUGGAAACUGCUCAGAACUCUUAAAUUUGAGUUACUGUGUGUGGAAAAAAAGGUCUUUCUCUGAAUGAAAGUGAACAUUCAGAGCAUGAGGAAGCUUGGGUGUACGUUUUUUUGUUAUGUGUAUAAUAAUUUUGUAUAUUUUGCCAUUGACGCAUGUGUGUGCGUCAAUGGCUCUGUGCGAGUCUAUGUGUGUGCGUGCGUGCGUGUGCUUUGUAAGAGCGCUGCAGUGUUACAAAUCAGUAAAAGUAGGUCAGGAGAGGAGGACUCCCUGGAAGACGAUGUGAACUCGUCACCUUGAAUCGCGUUGCAGGCUGCUGAGGGGAGAGAUGGAUGGAGAGGAAGAGUAGUGGGAGGAGGAGGAGGAGGAGAUCUCCAGAAAAGAGAAGAAAGUAGAGGGAGAGAGGAAGAGGUGCUGAGCGUGAAGGAGCGAAGAGGACAAACAAUAAAAUGUGUCCAAAGUGAAAGGAUCAACAAUAGGUCCUGCUGGCUAUCACGGGUGCAUCCGUCCUCAAUGGGUCGAUUUAGAAUAGUUCAAUAUCACACACACUGCAAGGAACAAUUUAAACUAAAACACAUUAUUUGUUGAGUCCUGACAAAUGUUUGUUUUUUCUCCUGAAAGGUUUUCAAACCUGAAGGAUUAUUAUAUCUUAUGAUAUUUCGUCUGUACUACUAUUUAUACUACACCACAUACUUUUCAUGUAACUGCA